UACGAGGGGGGCAAGCGUUGUUCGGAAUUAUUGGGCGUAAAGGGUGCGUAGGCGGUUUGGUAAGUCUGAUGUGAAAUCUAUGGGCUCAACUCAUAGUCUGCAUCGGAAACUGCCGGGCUUGAGUGUGGGAGAGGUGAGUGGAAUUCCUGGUGUAGCUGUGAAAUGCGUAGAUAUCAGGAGGAACACCUGUGGCGAAAGCGGCUCACUGGACCAUAACUGACGCUGAUGCACGAAAGCUAGGGGAGCAAACAGG
rnacentral:rRNA from 1 species